GAUGAACGCUGGCGGCGUGCCUAAUACAUGCAAGUCGAGCGGACAGACGAGGAGCUUGCUCCUCUGACGUUAGCGGCGGACGGGUGAGUAACACGUGGAUAACCUACCUAUAAGACUGGGAUAACUUCGGGAAACCGGCGCUAAUACCGGAUAAUAUAUUGCACCGCAUGGUUCAAUAGUGAAAGACGGUUUUGCUGUCACUUAUAGAUGGUUCCGCGCCGCAUUAGCUAGUUGGUAAGGUAACGGCUUACCAAGGCAACGAUGCGUAGCCGACCUGAGAGGGUGAUCGGCCACACUGGAACUGAGACACGGUCCAGACUCCUACGGGAGGCAGCAGUAGGGAAUCUUCCGCAAUGGGCGAAAGCCUGACGGAGCAACGCCGCGUGAGUGAUGAAGGUCUUCGGAUCGUAAAACUCUGUUAUUAGGGAAGAACAAAUGUGUAAGUAACUAUGCACGUCUUGACGGUACCUAAUCAGAAAGCCACGGCUAACUACGUG
rnacentral:rRNA from 1 species